CUAUUACAUACUGAUAUUGUUACCUGGAUUUAUGUCUCAUUUUUUUUAGUCAAUUCAUAAAAUCAGUCAUUCCUUAAAAAUUGUCACCUUGUCGUGUUUAAUGACACAAAAUAACUGGACUUUGCAUCAGUUCUACCUAAAAGACGACAUUUGAAGGAGAGAGGAAGAUUCGUCUUGAUGAGAAUAUAUAGGCUUUAAAGGGUGACUUUUUCAAGUUUUAGAUGAGUCAACACAAACUUAUUUUUAUCCUACUGCAAUACGUAUUGUUCUGUUCAUCAGUAUAUUGCUCACUAACAUUAGAUGACAAAAGUAUCGAGUCAGAAGGUCUUCUACCAGCUUACAACAUAGUUAACCAUGAUGUCGUAGAAGGCAGUGGAGAUGAUGGGGCCUUUCCAGCAGAAAACGUUCGUUUAACAACAGAAAAGUGUGACUGCUCCAAUAUAAAAACAACACCGGACUCGAGAGUUUUCUACAAUAACCCAGAACCACUUAUUGUUACAUCGACGCCAUCUGUUGUAAUAGGUAUAAUAGUGAUACUAUCAAUCCUGGUCCUGAUCUGCAUCAGCGCUAUCGCCUAUCUACUAGGUAAAGUCAAAUAUCUUAACAUGAGACAGAGGGCUCCAGCACCGAACAAAACAAAAGAAGACUAUGACUCAGAUGAAUACUCAGUGAUGAUGGACUGGUCGAAUGAACCCAGUAUAGUGGUCAAACAAAACAAAAAGAAAAGAGAAACAUGAAAGGGCUCUACUCACCGAAGUUAAA